UAGGGAAUCUUCCACAAUGGACGCAAGUCUGAUGGAGCAACGCCGCGUGAGUGAAGAAGGCUUUCGGGUCGUAAAACUCUGUUGUUGGAGAAGAAUGGUCGGCAGAGUAACUGUUGUCGGCGUGACGGUAUCCAACCAGAAAGCCACGGCUAACUACGUGCCAGCAGCCGCGGUAAUACGUAGGUGGCAAGCGUUAUCCGGAUUUAUUGGGCGUAAAGCGAGCGCAGGCGGUUUUUUAAGUCUGAUGUGAAAGCCCUCGGCUUAACCGAGGAAGCGCAUCGGAAACUGGGAAACUUGAGUGCAGAAGAGGACAGUGGAACUCCAUGUGUAGCGGUGAAAUGCGUAGAUAUAUGGAAGAACACCAGUGGCGAAGGCGGCUGUCUGGUCUGUAACUGACGCUGAGGCUCGAAAGCAUGGGUAGCGAACAGGAUUAGAUACCCUGGUAGUCCAUGCCGUAAAACGAUGAAUGCUAGGUGUUGG
rnacentral:rRNA from 1 species